GUAGUCCAUGCCGUAAACGGUGGGCGCUAGGUGUAGGGGACUUCCACGUCUUCUGUGCCGCAGCUAACGCAUUAAGCGCCCCGCCUGGGGAGUACGGCCGCAAGGCUAAAACUCAAAGGAAUUGACGGGGGCCCGCACAAGCGGCGGAGCAUGUGGAUUAAUUCGAUGCAACGCGAAGAACCUUACCUGGGCUUGACAUACACCAGAUCGCUGCAGAGAUGUAGCUUCCCUUGUGGCUGGUGUACAGGUGGUGCAUGGUUGUCGUCAGCUCAUGUCGUGAGAUGUUGGGUUAAGUCCCGCAACGAGCGCAACCCUUGUCUUAUGUUGCCAUCACGUGAUGGUGGGCACUCAUGAGAGACUGCCGGGGUUAACUCGGAGGAAGGUGGGGAUGACGUCAAAUCAUCAUGCCCCUUAUGUCCAGGGCUUCACACAUGCUACAAUGGUCGGUACAGCGAGUUGCCGCACCGUGAGGUGGAGCUAAUCUCUCAAAGCCGGCCUCAGUUCGGAUUGGGGUCUGCAACUCGACCCCAUGAAGUCGGAGUCGCUAGUAAUCGCAGAUCAGCAACGCUGCGGUGAUACGUUCCCGGGCCUUGCACUCACCGCCCUU
rnacentral:rRNA from 1 species